CACGUAGGGUGCGAGCGUUGUCCGGAAUUAUUGGGCGUCAAGAGCUCGUAGGCGGUGUGUCGCGUCGGCCGUGAAAACCUGCAGCUUAACUGUGGGCGUGCGGUCGAUACGGGCAUCACUGGAGUUCGGCAGGGGAGACUGGAAUUCCUGGUGUAGCGGUGAAAUGCGCAGAUAUCAGGAGGAACACCGGUGGCGAAGGCGGGUCUCUGGGCCGAUACUGACGCUGAGGCGCGAAAGCAUGGGGAGCGAACAGG
rnacentral:rRNA from 1 species